AAGACGUCACCUGAAAAUGAUCCUGAAAGGAGCCCUUCAGAUUCAAAAUCUUCUUCAGAUGGUUCUUCAGACAUAACCUGCAAAACUGAGCUGAUGACAAGUAAUUCUGACAAAGAGUGAAAUCUGGAACAAAGGAGACACUUUGAACACUGGACUAACUUCACUUCAUGAGGAUUCUGCACCACUGAACUCCUGAGAAAACAUUUCUGCUGUAAUGGAAGUGGACUUUUUUUAUUCCAGCCAUGACCAACUUCUGACUGAAACAUACACAAAAGACCUCAAACAACACAAAGGAACCACAUUUUUACUUUUAUGUCAUAGAAAAAAAAGAGAAUUACUGUUUUUCUGUGCAAAAAGUUACUUUUUA